rnacentral:rRNA from 1 species
CGCAAAUUACCCAAUCCUGACUCAGGGAGGUAGUGACAAGAAAUAACAACACUGGAAAUUUGAUUUCUAGUGAUUGGAAUGAUGGGAAUCCAAACCCCUUUCAGAGUAACAAUUGGAGGGCAAGUCUGGUGCCAGCAGCCGCGGUAAUUCCAGCUCCAAUAGCGUAUAUUAAAGUUGUUGCAGUUAAAAAGCUCGUAGUUGGAUGUCUGUUGGAAGCAAUCAUCAGUCCGCCCUAUUUGAUUAGGGUGUGAAUAUGAUGAAUUCCGGCAUAAUUGUCUCCCUAUUGUUAAUAUUCUGAUUGUUAGAUUCAUUUCUAACAAUAAUACGAUUAUUAAUAAUAAGGGGGAAAUGUUACUUUGAGAAAAUUAGAGUGUUUGAAGCAGGCUUUUGUUGCCUUGAAUACUGCAGCAUGGAAUAACAAUAUAGGAUUUCGGUUCUAUUUUGUUGGUUCUUUUUUUAGGACUGAAAUAAUGAUUAAUAGGGACAGUUGGGGGCAUUCGUAUUUAACUGUCAGAGGUGAAAUUCUUAGAUUUGUUAAAGACGAACUACUGCGAAAGCAUUUGCCAAAGAUGUUUUCAUUAAUCAAGAACGAAAGUUAGGGGCUCGAAGACGAU